ACCUUCGGGAGGGCGCUUACCACUUUGUGAUUCAUGACUGGGGUGAAGUCGUAACAAGGUAACCGUAGGGGAACCUGCGGUUUGAUCACCUCCUUA
rnacentral:rRNA from 1 species